ACCUGGAGUGCUUUUCUGGCAUCAUCUCCAGGCUCUCUCUCUCUGGGAGGGGGGGCCCACGGAGCCGAGUGGGAUGUUUUGCUUUGGGAAACCCACUAAUUAUGGUGGUAAAGAGCAAAGGGAUAUUUGAACCCGGCGCCUGAUGGUCACGGGGCACCGAGGUGCAUUUUUGCUUCUUGAAAGAUCGCCACGCAGCCUACACGAACUUAAAACAUCGAAAUAAAUUUGUGUGUGCCCUGUCACACAAUAGAGCCGAAGCCACCUACCACCGGCUGGCGAGUAGUGAAGAAUUCAGAAGAAAAACUCAUAACCCAAUCAUCCAUCUUUCUUCAAUUUAAUUUUCAAAGGGAUUUCCAGAAACUGGCUUGGAGUGUGUGGUCACCCAGGCCAUGUGAUUGUUGACCAACUGGAAGUGACCUGGAACAGCCCAUGUAAAUGACUCCAGGCAAACUCGAGGGGAGAUUAAAAAUCCCAGCAAUCCUCUGAAGAGGAGUUAACACGAGACUGAAUUUGGAAGCGAUGAGGAGAAGUGGAUAGAGCAAGAGCUUGGAAGUUAGGAAACCUGAGUUCUGAUCCUGGAUCUGCCACUUACCUGCUGUGUGACCUUGGCCUUCGAUCACCUUGGUCAAAACUCUCUUAGACUAUCAACAGCCCACCUGACUCGGUGAACUUGAGCAUACUCAGAGAUCGUAACAAGUGCACAUCAUGCAAGGCUGUGGAAGAAAAAAGGUUCAGGAGACACACCCCUCAGCCCCCCAAAUCGGGUGGAUGGAAGGUUUUUGACGACCGAGCCAGAAGUCCAUUUGCCAGACCAAAUCCUAAACAGACUCUGAAGCCCAGUGAAGAGUGGUGUAAAGACUGGGGGUUUGGAAACUGCAGUUCUGUUGCUCAGCAAAGGAACCAACAAUCUCAUUUGGUCAAAUCAGAUGGAAAAUUUGUCUGGUUUACUUUUUGGCCUCUACAUGAAAAUCAUUCUGGAUCCACUCCCAAGUUUUCCUGGAGAUGUGUUUCACAUAAGGGACUAUUCAACACUUCUACGGUUCUAAAGGUGGGAGAGAGAGUUCUAGUCCAGCGGUUCCUGCUUUAUUCUGAUUGUGGUCGGAGCGGGCUGUAGUCUCCUGUCCUCCCGACACAUCACGUACUCGCUGAACUGAGAGGAAUCCACCCCUCCGCCGCAGGAAGCCGCCACGCUGAAGCCCUUCUGAAACAGUCUCUCAAGGACCUACGAUGGGGACGAGAACACAGAGGUUAAAUUUCCAGUUGGGGCUGGUGAACGAAAAGCACCCCCGCCGGUUGAUCUGGAAGAUGGAUACUGUCUUUCAGGAUCCCCGAGAAUGAAUAUUAUAUAGCUGUAAUUCUAUAAGUUAUUUUUAAAUGACUCUAUCGUGAUUAAAGUCUCGCUUACAGCA